rnacentral:tRNA from 1 species
GCCCGGAUGGUGGAAUCGGUAGACACAAGGGAUUUAAAAUCCCUCGGCGUUCGCGCUGUGCGGGUUCAAGUCCCGCUCCGGGUACCAUGG